rnacentral:lncRNA from 1 species
AGCCAGCUGCCUUCUCCUGGGAAACAUCUUUUUUUGUCCUGUUGGGCUAAGGCCCAACCAGACACCAUGCUGCCACUGUUAAUCCUGUUUGCUCUCCAAAUUACCCUGAUCCAGUGUUGAUGGGAACAAAACUCUAUAGUAAAUAUUUCAAAAAUUAUAGCAUCAAGGAAUCAUCCUCAUGGUUGCUGGAUUUGUCAUCAACAUCUUCAGGAUAGACAGUUGUGUCUUCCAGAAAAUCUCAUGGCCAUCUCCCCAGACCUUCUAACUAACCCUAGUGAUCCCAAGCACCCAAAACCCUACUUCUUAAGUGGAAACCUCCCUUACUUAACAGAUUCCAUCUGAAACCCCCCACAACUAUUACCUGGACCUGGAAAGUUGGGUGCACUAAUAAUUCUGUCUUUUGCACUAAUUGUAUCCAGUGCACUAGUAAUUCUAUCUUUUCAACCUCCUGUUGUGUUAAUGACACAUAAGUGGAAGUUUUCCUGUGAUGUUCUGAUCCAAGUUUAGUUACCAAGUUGCCAAGGCCAUAGCAAGGUAAAUGGGAUUCUACUUGUAAGCAUGGUGCUUUCUGCUGGAUCAGAACAUACAGGGACAAAACAAUUGCCCAGUCUGGGGAGGCAGGAGUACUAUCCCCCUUUGGAAAACAAAGAUUGUUCAACCACUGCCAUUAGAACAGGAUAAAAGUAUCUCUGUAGAUCCAACUUGGCAGCAAAGGAUAGACAUCACACUCCAUAACCACUUCUGACUUUUCAGGCAACCGCUUGUUCUUUUAGGAGUAGCUUUCCCUUGUAUAUCAAAAACUUGGAACAUUCCAGCACUUUGAGAGGCCAAGGUGGGUGGAUCAUUUGAGGUCAAGAGUUCAAAAACAGCCUGGUCAACAUGGCAAAAACCCAUCUCUAUUAAAAAUACAAAAAAUUAGCUGGGCGUAGUGGCACAUGCCUAAAAUCCCAGCUACUUGGGAGGCUGAGGCAGGAGAAUUGCUUGAACCUGGGAGACGGAGGUUGCAGAGUGAGCCAACAUCAUGCCGUUGCACUCCAGCCUGGGCGACAGAGUGAGAUUUUGUCUCAAAAACAAACAAACAAACAAAAACUUGGAACAGAGUUUGCACAUUGGCUGCCCUGGGCCAUCCAGGGGUCACACUCUAUAACCUGUAAGACCCAAGAACACCAGAACUAAAUGAGCAAUGGUACUUAUUCGGGCAGAAAUUGGAGUGACAAUAGGACUAGUGGAAACCUGGGGCAGGUUUGCUUACCAAGAGUCAACCCCAAAGAACUGAAACCCUACACUAACACAGGUCAGGCACUAAAGAGAAUUCAAGAGUCCCUGGGCUCUUUGGCAAAAGUAGUUCUCAAUAGCAGACUAGCAUUGGAUUAUUUACCAGCUAAGCAAGGUGGACUCUGUGCAAUUAUUAAUAAAACCUGCUGCACUUACAUUAACAACUCUGGACAAGUUCAGGUUAGCAUUCAAAAGAAUUGCUUGAAUCCAUGAGGAGGAGGCUGCAGUGAGCUGAGAAUGCACCACUGCACUUCAGCCUAGGCGACAGAGCGAGACUCCAUCUCAAAAACAAACAAACAAACAAAAAAAGAUGUAUGAGUAUGUUACCUGGUUACUGACCCCAACUAUAUCUGGUUGACUAUCGAAAGUGCUUUCCCAAGUCUCAGCUUGUUUUACCUCUCCUAGGACCUUUGAUAGCUAUCAUGUUGUUACUAAAUUUUGGCCCUGGCUUGUUUAACAUCUUAGUAAAAUUUGUGUCCUCUAUAUUACAACAGUUCCGGGUAAAGACAAUGCUGGCACCAGGCUUCCAGCUCGUCUCACCUACUGACCUAGAGAAUGGAAGUGUCCUGCCUGUGGGCCCCUUAGAUCAGGAAUCCAGAGAAUUUUAUUCCUCUAGUGCUAGGCCAGGCCUACACCCAUAAACUCAGGAGGAAGCAGUUAGAAAAGAUGGACCUCCACCUUUCUGGAGCCCACUUAAGGUUAAGGAAGAGUAUAUAAUCUCUGAGCAGGGAAAGAAGUGGGAGGCAGGACUCAACUCCAGAGGUGGGGCUUGACUCCAGAAGCAGAGCUCAGACAUCAGACCAAAUUGAGGACUAACUGAAACAGAGAUGGGGCAGAAACAUCUUUCCAAAAGACACACCCACCAACGUGCCAUGUCAGUUAACCAUUUCCAUGGCAGCAUGCCAAAGUUACCACCCAUUUCCAUGGCAGCAACCUAACAACCCAGAAGUUACCACACUGUUUUUAGAAAUUUCUGCAAAAUCUGCCCCUUAAUUUGUAUACAAUUAAAAGUGGGCAUCAAUAUGACUACAGGACUGUCUCUGAGCUACUGCUCUGGGUACACUGCCUAUGACAUAGAUAGCCCUGCUGUCUGAGGAGCAGUACCUCUAGUACUACUGUAUACUGCUGCUUCAAUAAAAGUUGCUAUAUAACACCACUGGCCCACCCUUAAAUUCUUUCCUGGACAAAGCCAAGAAUCUUCCUAUGCUAAGCCCUAGUUUUGGGGCUCACCUGCUUUGCGUCACCUUCACUUUGUCCUGCCAGGGCAGGGUCAGAAGAAUUCAGCUAAAGGAGAUUUAAAUAAGAUCCAGAAUAUCACAGCAUAAUACUGAAAAUGUCCAGGUUUCAACUGAAAAUUACUCAUUGUACCAAGAACCAGGAAAAUUGCAAAUUGAAUGAAAAAUGUUCAUCAAUAGAUGCCAACACUAAGAUGACAGAGAUGUUAGAAUUAUCUGACAAAGAUCUUAAAACUACCAUCAAAAUCCUUUAAUGAACAAUUAUGAACACACUUGAAACAAAGAAAACAUAGAAAGCCUCAGCAAAUUAAGGUAAAUUGUAAAAAAAAAAAAAAAAGUGGAAAUAUUAAAACUGGAAAUAUAAUCACAGAAAUAAAAACUCACUGGACGGACUCAAUAGCAAAAUGGAGAGAAAAGAGAAAACAAUCAGUUAACUUGAAAUUAGAACCAUAGAAAUUACCGAAUAUAAACAACAGACAGCGAAAAUAAAUUGGAAAAAAAUGAGCACAGCCUGCUAGAAUCUGUGGGAGUAUAACAAAAAUAAUAAUUUUAUGGGAUUCCAGAAAAAAGAAAAGGGGCGAAGCUGAAAAAAUGUUAAAAGAAAUAAUGACCGAAACUUCCCAAAUUUGACAAAAUGUAUAAACAUACAGAAAGAGGAAGCUGAAGGAAUAGGAACGCAAUGAACCAUAAAAAAUCCACAACUAGACACAUCACAGUAAACCUUGUAAAAACUGAAAACAAAGGGAAAAAUUUUUAAAACAGUAAGAGAGAAAUGACACUUUCCAUAUAUGGAAAACAAGUCAAAUAUCAACAGAUGUGUCAUCUGAAACAUGGAGCCCAGAAGGUGUGAAAUAGCAUUUAUCGAAUGCUGAAGGAAAAGUUCUGUCCACCCAGAAUUCUAAAUACAAUGAAAAUAUUAUUCAGCAACGAAGGGAGAAAUCAACCUUUUCAGAUGAAGAAAAGCCAUGAAAAUUUGCUGGCAGCAAACCUACUCUGAAAAAAUGGCUGAAGAUGUUCUCUAAACAGGAAAAAAAAAAAUGAUAAAGAAAUCUUGAUACAUCAGAAAGGAAGAAAGAUCAUGAUAAGCAAAAAUAUGGGUAAAUACAAUGUACUUUCUUUCUCUUAAUUAUCUAAAUUAUGCUUAAUGGCUCCAUAAAGAAUUAUAAUGUGGGUCUAAAUGCAUGUAGAGGAAAUAUUUUAGAUAAUUAGGUUAUAAACAGAAGGUUCUAAAUGCAUGUAGAGGAAAUACAUUUAAGAUAAUUAUAAACAGAAGGGUAAAAGGACAUAAAGGGAAAUGCCACAUCACUUGAACUGGUAAAAUGAAGCCAGCAGUAGAUGGUGAAUGAUGUACACAUAAUGUAUUACUUAGAACAAUCACUGAAAAACUAUAUAAAGAGAUACAAUACAAAACACUAUAUGAAAAUGAAAGUCUAAAAAAUGAUCAUGUAAACCACUAGAAGGCAGAAUAAAGAAGGCAAGAGCAAAAAUAGAGAACAAACAGAAAACAAAAUAAAAUGGCAGAUUUUAUCCCUACUAUAUUAAUAACUACAUAAAAUGCAAAUGCUUUGAAUAUAACAAUUAAAAUACAGAUUGGAAAAGUUAAUUAAAAACAUGACACAACUAUGUGCUAUCUAAAAGAAACUAAAUUCAAAUAUAAUGUUAUAAGCAGGCUAAGAGUAAAAGAGAGGAAAAAACAUACAAACAUUAGUCAAAAGAAAUCACAAACAACUUUAUAAAUAUGAGAUACAGUAGCAAAGGAAGUUACCAGAGUUAGAGAAAGACAUUGUAAAUUGAUAAAAGAGCCAAGUUACUAAGGAGACAUAGCCAUUCUAAAUGUGGAUGCACUAAAUAAGAGAGAUCAAAGCAUUUGAAGCUAAUUCUGAUAAAACAGAAAGGAGAAAUAAACACUUCCACAUUUAUAGUUCUGUGAAACAAAACUGAAAGAACUAGUAAAACUGAAAGGUUAAAUGGAAAAUACACAAUUAUAUAGAUACUUCAACGUUUCUUUCUCAACAAUUUAAUAGAACUAGUUAGAAAACCAGCAAGGAUAUGGAAGAACUCAGAAAUGUCAUCAAACAAAAGACUCUAAUCAACGUAUAUUUGGGACACUUUACUCAACAAAAGCACAAUACAGUUUUUUUUUAUAUGCCCACAGACAUAAAUCAAGACAGACAAUAUCCUGUGCCAUAACCAAACCUCAACAAAUUUUAAAGAAUUGAAAUCAUACAGAGCAUGUUUUCCAGUCACAAUGGAAUCUAACUAGAAUCAACAACAGGAUAACAAGAAAAUAUCCAAAUGCAUGAAACUAAACAACAUUAUUUAUUUAUAUGUUUAUUUUGGAGACAGUGUCUUGCUCUGUUGCCCAGGCUAGAGUGCAGCAGCAUGAUCACGGCUUACUGCAGCCUUGACCUCCUGGGCUCAAGCGAUUCUCCUGCCUCAGCCUUCUGAGUAGCUGGGACUACAGGAAUAUGCCACCACACUUGGCCAAUAUUUUAUUAUUUGUAGAAAUGGGGUUUCAUUGUGUUGCCCUGGCUGUUCUUGAACUCUUGGGCUCGAGUAAUGCUCCUGCUUCAGUCUCACAAAGUGCUGGAAUUACAGGAGUGAGCCAUCAUGCCUGGCCAACACUUCGAUAGCCCGUGGUUCAAAGAGAAAAUCUCAAGAAAAAAUUUUAAAAAUACAUUAAACUGAAUGAAAAUUAAAAGAAAGAACAUAUCAAAAUUUGUGAGAAGCAACUAAAGCAAUGCUAAAAGGGAAAUUUCUAGCAUUAAAUGCAGUACAUUAAAAAGGAAAAUAUUUCAAGUCAAUAAUAAAAAUUUCCACCUUAAGAAUCUAGAAAAAAAUGUUCAAAAUAAACCCAAAGCAAUCAGAAGGAAAGAUACGAAAACAGAAACAUUAGAACACAAACAAAUGAAACUUACAACAGAAAAAUAAUAAUAAAGAUCUAUAACAUGGACUAAUUCUUUAAAAAUGCAAGUUAUAACAAGUCACUCAUUUUGAGACAGAUAAUUUAAAUAAGUUAAAAUAACUAUUACAAAAACGGAAUUUAGAAUUUUGAAAUUCUCAAUUCCACAACAAGGUCUAAAUAGUUCCACUGAAGAAUUAAAAAAAAAACAUGUAAGAAACAAGAUCAAUUUUACAUAUUUUUUCCAGAAAUUUGAAGAGAAAUGAAUACUUCACAAUAUGUUAUGUAAAGCUAGAAUUACUUUGAUACCAAACCAGAUAAAGGGAAGAAGAAAAGGAAAGAAAACUACAAACCAAUAACCCUAAUAAAUAUAGAUGCAACAAUUCCUAACAAAAUAUUACUAAAUAGAAUUCAACAAUGUAUUAAAGAACAACAUACCAUUACCAAGUGGAGUUAAUUCAAGAUAUGCAAGACUGGUUCAAUAUUAGAAAAUCAAUCAAUGUAAUCCACUGUAUAAACAGGAUGAAGAUGAAAAAACACAUACUCAUAAUAAUAGAUGCAGAAAAAGCAUUUGACAAAAUUCAGUAACUAUUCAUAAUAAAAACUUUCAGGAAAAAUAGAAAUAGAGGAAAAUUUCCCAACUUACAGAAUAUCUACAGAAACACUACAGGUGACUUUAUAGAGGCAUACAUCACUUUAUUGUGCUUCAUUUUUUCACACCUUGCAGAUACUGCGUUUUCACAAAUUGAAGAUUUGUGGCAACUCUGCAUUAAGCAAAACUUUCAAUGCCAUUUUUUCAACAGCAUUUGUUCACUAUGUGUCUGUCACAUUUUGGUAAUUCUCACAAUAUUUCAAACAUUUUCAUUAUUACUGUAUUUGUUAAGGUGAUCUGUGAUCAGUGAUCUUUGAUGUUACUAUUGUAAUUGUUUUGGGGGUGUCAUGAACUGUGUGCAUAUAAGACGACAAACUUAAUUGAUAAAUGUUUUGUGUGUUCUGACUGCUCCACUAAGUAGUCCUUCCAUCAUCUCUCUCCCUCUGCUUGGAGAAGGACCACGAUAUUGAAAUGAGGCCAAAUAAUAACUCUACAAUGGCCGGUAAGUACAAAGAAGAAUCACGUCUUAUUUAAAAUCAAUAGUUAGAAAUGAUUAAAUUUAAUGAGGAAGGCGUGUAAAAAGCCAAGAUAGGCUGAAAGCAAUGCUUCUUGGGCCAAACAGCCAAGCUGUGGAUGCAGAGGAGUAGUUCUUGAAGGAAACUAAAAGUGCUAUCCCAAUAAGCACACAAAUGAUAAGAAAGCAAAUCUUAUUGCUGAAAUGUGUAACUACAACAUUCCCUUAAGGCAAAGCCUAAUCCAGAGCAAGGCCCUAGCUCUCUUCAACUCUAUGAAGGCUAAGCUGUAGAAAAAUAGUUAGAGGCUAACAGAAAUUGGUUCAUGAGGCUUAAGCAAUGAAGCCAUCUCCAUAACAUCAAAGUACAAGGUGAAGCAGCAAAUGCUGGUAUAAAAGCUACAGCAAGUUAUCUGAAAAAUCUAGCUGAGAUCAUUGAUGAAGGCGGCUACACUAAAUAUAUUUUCAACAUAGACAAAACUGUCUUUUAUUCGAAGAAGGUCCCAUCUCGGACUUUCAUAGAUAGAGAGGAGAAGUCAAUGCCUGGCCAAAGGACUUUUAUCGAGGAUUUUCGCAUCGAUGUUCAUCAGGGA